rnacentral:rRNA from 1 species
GACGAACGCUGGCGGCGUGCUUAACACAUGCAAGUCGAACGGAAAGGCCCUGCUUUGUUGCGGUGCUCGAGUUGCGAACGGGGGAGUAACCCGUGGGUAACCUGCCCUUGACUGUGGGAUAACUUCAUGAAACUGGGUGUAAUACCGGAUAGGAGCUCCUGCUGCAUGGUGGGGGCUGGAAGGUUUAGGCGGUUGGUGAUGGACUCGCGGCUUAUCGGAUUGUUGGUGGGGUAGUGGCUUAGCAAGGCUUGGACGGGUAGCCGGGCUGAGAGGGGGACCGGCCACACUGGGCCUGAGCUACGGCACGGACUAGAACGGGAGGCAGCGGUGGGGAAUAUUGCACUAUGGGCGGAAGCCUGACGCAGCAACGCCGCGUGCGGGAUGACGGCCUUGGGGUUGUAAAGCGCUUUCGCCUGUGACGAAGCGUGAGUGACGGUAAUGGGUAAAGAAGCACCGGCUAACUACGUG